rnacentral:lncRNA from 1 species
UUCACACAGGAAGAAGUUGGAGUUCGUGAAAAAACUUCUUAGCCUUGCCUGCAUGAUUGUGACCUCCUUCUUGCUCCUUUAUGGCAGGAUGUGUACUACUCAUAAUUUGGUUCUGAUUGGGGAAGAAAAAUCUCAGAAGACUCAGAGGUUCAAAUCAUAUUAGUUCUCAAAAGUUUGGAUGUGCCUUCAAACCUCCUGGGCCUGAAAAUAUUGACUGGAAAUGACACAAAAAACAGCUUCUUCACAGCGUUUCUGGCAGUUCAACUCCUGCUCCUGGCUGGAAGUUCAAGUGCAGAGAUGCAUGAAAUUGAAC